UGGUUAGCUCAGUUGGUAGAGCGCUCCACUUGUAAUGGAGAGGUCCCGGGUUCGAUACCCGGACCAGGCG
rnacentral:tRNA from 1 species